rnacentral:piRNA from 1 species
UACUAGUAAGCUUUAGUCUCACUCCU